rnacentral:rRNA from 1 species
GACAGAGGGGGCAAGCGUUGCUCGGAAUUACUGGGCGUAAAGGGCGCGUAGGCGGAAUGGCAAGUCGGUCGUGAAAUACUUCGGCUCAACCGAAGAACGUCGAUCGAAACUGCCGUUCUUGAGGAUUGCAGAGGAGACUGGAAUUCCCGGUGUAGCGGUGAAAUGUGUAGAGAUCGGGAGGAACACCGGUGGCGAAGGCGGGUCUCUGGGCAAUUCCUGACGCUGAGGCGCGAAAGCGUGGGGAGCAAACGGG